AAACCCCAACCAAACAAGAUCAUUCAUCUUGCACAGAGCAAAAAUGUGUUGCCAAAUCUAUCAGAUAAGAAUACAGAACAAAGACCAAAACAAACCUUCAUGCUACCUGAGGUGUGUCUCUGUAUCUUGCUGAUGGUGCAGGAAGAAGCUCCGAGAAUUCAGUGACCUAAACAGUAGGUUCUAGUGACCUUGUCUUUCCCAGAUCACCUCACUGGUAUUUUAAGGUGCCCAGAGGAAGUGUAAACUGUCUAGUGUCACUGAUACUUACACUGCUUUAUGCCUCCCUGGUGCGUGACUGGGAACCUCAAGCUCUCAUGGUAUACCUGCUUAUAUCCUUGGGUAAAUAGAGGGUCCCACCAGGUGAGAACAUCUACCGGGGCCUUCCCUUUCUUUACCUUUUUGUAGGCUACAUUUCAGUUAGACAAGGUGGAGUUUGCACACACAGAGCAAACUGGAUAUUGUCAGCAUAGAACUUAUUCAUUUAUUUUCAUUACUGAGAAGGGUAAAGUUCCCUGUCUUACACUCUGCACUGGUCCUCUGGUAAUUGUUGCUUGGUGGUCUACUGGGGUCACUUAACUGCAUGAUCUGAAUAGUUCCAUGACACAAAAUUAAACUGAACUCUACUAGCCUUCCAUGCAGUUUGCCAUGUUCUCUCGAUCACGUGGUGUGAACAAUGUGUGCAGGGUGCUGCUGCCAUGUGAGCAGGGCAUGCUCUCCUGUGACCGAGGAGGGAUGUGUGCAGCCAGCUGGGGUCAGAGGAGAACGCCAGCUCGGGUGACAGGACUGCAGUGAGCAGCCGAGCCAGGCGAGUGUCUGAGGACUGAAAGGGAACACUAAAGCUAUGCAUGGGCUUUGUGCAAGCCUGCAUAUCAAGAAAAAGGAGGAAGUGGGGAGGGUCUAAAGGAUAAUUACCCCAAUUUUUUCCCAUCCUUGUACCUAUUGCUACCACUUCUUUGGCUUUGAUUAAAAAUAGCUGUUCUGUAGCUUGUUUAAAAAUCUUCCCAAUGCCAGUGGCUCAGGUGCAACUGGUAAAUGGGUGUGCAGUGCUGGAGACGUGUGUGGAGCCAAGAGGUGAACAAAGGUAUGGAGAUGUGUGUGGAGCUGCUGUGCUCAUGCUGUUGUGGUCUGGGCAACAGUGGGCAACAUGCUGAGUAGGCAUGAUACCAUUUCCCUCUCUGUUGUCUUAGUGAUGUCUCAUCCCCAUUUCUACACUUUAAGCUCCCCUGCCCUUCCUGAGGGUUUUGUCUUCACAGCAGGGCACUGCUGCUUGAGUGGAGAGCCUUUAUCAGCCUCUUGGCCCCAGCAUUUGGUCACAAGGUUUCCCAGAAUAGAACAGCUGAGACUUGAGCUGUGCCCAGCCUGAGCCAAAGAGAGGGGUGUGAUGCAUUCCCCCUCCCUGCAGAAUGCCCUGGGCUGGCAGGCAGAUUCUGGGCCCAAACACAGGCUGCUGGUGGGGCUGUGCCUCAGAGCCUGGCUGGGGUGCACCAGCAGGUCCUGUCCUGGUCUCUGAGCAGAGUUUGGGCGUCAUGGGCAGUGUCACAGGUGGAAGAGAUGAGAGCCAGGAGCCCAUCCGCACCCAGCAGGCAUGUGGCCCUGCCCAGGUGUUCUGGCAGGCCCUGCUGGCCGGGGAUCAGGGCACUGUCGCCAAGAUCCUCAGAGAUCCUCAGAACAACCUGAGCCCCAGUGCGGUGUUUGACACCAGUGACCUGGAAGAGUGGAAGAACUACCGCUUCAAUCCCCGCAGGCUGAGACUGUGGUCGCUGAGCUACGAGCAGGAGCUCACCACGCCGCUGCACAUCACGGCCGGCCGGGGCUACGCGGACUGCCUGCGGCUGCUGCUGCUCCGCGGCGCUGCCGUCGACUUUGCUCCGGGGGGCAAGACCGCCCUGCACGAGGCUUGUGCAGCCGCCAGCACCGCCUGCGUGCGCCUGCUGCUCGGCUCCGGGGCCGAUCCCGAGGCUGUCUCCGAGGAUGGCUACCGGCCCCUGCACCUCUGCAAGAGCUCCGACUCCCUCGAGUGUGUCCAGCUGCUGCUGCAGCAUGGUGCCAGCGUGAACAGCCAGACAGAGGAGGAGAAGGACACGGCACUGCAUGUGGCAUCACGGCAUGGCCUGGCAGAGCACGUCCGGCUGCUUCUGCACCAGGGUGCUGAAUUGGAGGUGAAGAACAAGGAGGGGCAAACACCACUGAAUGCUGCCUGUGCUCAGCACCAUCAGCCCCAGGACAUGGACCGCUACUACCGGGUCUGCCAGCUGCUGGUGGAGAGCGGUGCCAGCAUCAACGCUGAGGAUCGGGACCGGCAGCACCCACUUCACCUGGCCUGCAAGAAUGCCAACGCUCAAAUCGCAGAGUUACUGCUGGCCCGGGGUGCCAAUGUCAAUGUCAUGAACUACGGCGGCAACACGGCCCUGCACAACAUCCUGCAAGUGGCUGCCUACAAGCUGGAGCAUCACCCAGAGCUCGUGGUACGGGCGCUGCUCAACCACGGAGCCGUCCGCAUCUGGCCAGGUUCCCUCCUCAAGGUGCUGCGGUGCUGCCACAGCUGCCCGCGUGUCAUCGAGGCCCUGGUGAACAGCUACAGCCAUGUGCGCGUCUCCGAGGACUGGGAGGAAGCAGUUCCAGCAGAGGUUGUACAGAGGUGCUGUAGCAGAUGCUGAUGCUCCUGAGGUGCCGUGCUCCACGUGUGAAUGAAUCUCAGGGGAGCAGACCCCUUUGGCACACUGGUGCUCUUUGGGCUGUCAGCCUCGCUCCGAUCUCUGGCUCGUUCCACACCUCAGCAGAGUCACCUGCAGCUGCUUACCACGGCUGGGUGCUUCAGAUCGCUGAAAGAAUCCCCAGCAAAGGCGUCAGCACAGGCUGGUUUGGUGUAACUUUGCAGUAGUAGAAGAAGACAGCAAGAAUGGUCAGAAGACAAGGAAACAACCAACAAAAGCCACCUCUAGGAGAAAACCUGAGCAGUGACAAAAUAACAAUAUCUUAACAUGUAGAAAUUACCUGAGCACCUCUCUUGUGAGGAAAGGCUGAGGGAGCUGGAACAGUUCAGCCUGGAGAAGGGAAGGUGCCAGGGGAUCUCAUCAGUGUGGGUAGAUACCUGAGGGGAGGCCACAAAGGCGAUGGAGGCAGGCUGUUUUCAGUGGUGCUUUUACUGGGCUCUGCUCCCAGCUGAAGAAACGAUGUUCAUGUGCCAGCCUGUAUUCUGCAUAGUGUUGCCUAACCCAUUUUUUUUCUGAAUCCUGCAUCCUGCACUCUAAGAACAUCAGCUUUGCUUAUAGGCUCUCACAGAGCCAUGAGAUGUAUGUCUACAUAGUGACCUGCAGAUGAAGGAUGUCUUCUGGAGUGCCAUGCUCACAUAACUGCUGGGACAGAGCAGUGCACUUGGAGAGAGCUGCUUCUAAACAUGCGAGAGGUACCAGCCCUGUGCCUUAGAAGCCCCAUUAAUUUCUAAAGAAUUUGGUUAACAUUGCUCUCCCUGAGCAGGAUCCAAACACAGGAGUGAGGGAGGGCUUAGCUCUCCUAAGCAGAACAAUUCUCAAAGAAAUAUGUGAACCUUGUCCAGGGCUACAGAAACAAACAUUUCCAUUCUGAGAUCUUGUCAGCAGCAAAUCCGAGCACCUGGGAGUGCUCUUGCUACUGUUAAUGAGAAUGCUGGACUCUCAUUGCUCUAGCUGUGGCCCUGCCAGGCCUAGCUCUGAAGUUCCUUCCCCAGGCAUGAACACGCAGACAGUCUCAGUGUCAGAAGCUGAAGACAGAAGUAUGUGGAGUAGCUCUGCAUCAGGGAGAGCCUGUGGGACCACGGCUGCAGCAGCCAGGGGACCUCCUGGGUGUCCCUUGCACAGGAGCUGCUGCCCACCUCAGGCAGGGGGUGGCUGCAGAGCCUGAUGGACCACGCCAUGGGCACCCCCAGCAGCAGGAUCUGUGCCUGGCAAGAGCCAGCUUUGGUCAAACAACACCAUGGCCACAGCCAGCCUGUUCUCUAGCCUUCCCAAACUUUGAGUAAAUAAUUUUACAACAUUACUCUUGCUUUUAAUAUGUUUAGCAGUUAUAUUGCAGGAAUGCCUAGAGGCUGUGACUAGAUUUAGUCCUGUUGUGCUAGAUUCCGUGCAGAGAUAGUAAGUGGAGCAGGUAGAGGCAUAAAGUUAAGACUGCAUAGCAGUUUCCAUUAGGAAGACCUGCUUUCAUUUCCCAGUCUGUCAUUACGAUUUAACUGUUGCAGUUGUGGUUGCUGUGUGUGUUACUCAGAACUUUACUCAUUACAGAUACAGCAAAAAUUAAUUGGCCUGUAUUUGGCCAACAGCUGGUGCAUCAGGAACACACUCCUGAGUCUCCACCUCAGAGAGGAGAGAUGGCCUGGGUGGUUCUUUUCCUGCCCAGUAGCACGGGAUCAAAUUUUCCUUAAUUAAGAGCCUCUGAGGACCCCAGUUUGCAGGUUCUGAGCAAGGACAUUUUUAAAGGCUGAUGGUUUUCUUCCAGGGUUCUCUGUGCUGAUCAGACAGGUCCUGCACCACCUUCAGUGCAGGCACUGUCCCACGUGCGAAGUGUUGAGCAGGACACUUUCCAGGCUUUCCUACUGACUCCAGAAAAGCAGGCAAACGGACCUAUCCAUGUUCACAUGUCUGCAGCAAGGAAUGAGGAGGAGGAGGAAGCUUGAGCAGUUCUAAUGCAGAAAACAGAGAAGAGAGGUGGUAAGCAAAGGCAGACUGAGGAUGGAGGAGAUGGGCCAGGCUGGUCUGUGAUUGCUGAGGGCACUGCUUGUAGAGACUGGACUUGAAUUCAGCACUCAGGGCCCAGCUUGGUGAGACUCAGGACCACCUGCAGAGACUGGAAAACACAAGCCAUGACGCAGUGACCCCAAAACAGGAGAGAGCAGGUCUCCUCCUGAGACUCUUUUUAAACUCAGUGUCUGAUAAUAUACCUAGCAAGGUCCUGAGACAUCUCCAUCAACAGCUGAGAGUGCAAUGAGACAUGGGACUUCACAAAUUGCACACACAAUUAAUAUUUCUGCUGUACCUGGCGUGUUGGACACUAUCUUCAGGCACAUUAAGGGAAUACACCGGUUCCUUGAGAGGGAGGGAUAAAGCUCUUUAAACUGGAAUCAAGGGGCUUUCUGCAGAGGUGUGUGGAGAGUGAAAGAUGCCCAGGAAGCAUCUGAGCAGAGGAGGUCUGAGCCUCGAAUGGAAGCCAUGGAAACUGCAUUUCACUCGGCAGCAAGCAGCUGUGGAAGAUUCAGCAUAGGUUACACAGUUGAAAUUGGGAAAGCCCAUGGAAGUCCAAUGGGUGGACGUGCAGCCUGGACCCUCAUUCCACCCUGUGAGGAUGGUGGAUGUGGGAGCUCUGUCCUAUUUGAUGUACACAUGAGAGUAUAGCAGCACAUCUUUGCUUUAUUAUUCUCACAACUUUUUUUUUUUUUUCUAUAGUCCUUCAGCAUAUCCUUCUCUGAAUCUUUGUUUCAUUAUUUGCACAUGAGUUUCUACCUCUACUACGAAGUCUCAUGAGAAAAAGUAAACCAAAGUGGAGUAAAUUGCUGGGGCCCUGAGUACAUUCCCCCCUCCUUGGGGGAGGAUUGACUCUCUAAGGCCAGGGCCAACUCAUAGGAUGAAGCCAUCUGUCAUCAGAUCUGCUCUGCUCACCUUCCUCAGGCCCUGUGGGAAUGCACCCUGGUCAGUGAAGCCCCUGCCUUGCUACAGCCCUUCCUGCCUGGCUUCCCACCCCUCUGGAAGCAGCCUUUCCUUGCUGCUCCUAGCAUGGAACAGACUCAGUGUUCGAAGGGAGAUGGGGGCUGCAGGAAUGCAAGUGUAUGAUCAGACGGGAAGGCGUACAGCUCAGACGAGGAGAAGCUGGAGGUGAAGUCGGCGGCGACGCCG